CCUACGGGUGGCAGCAGUAGGGAAUCUUUCACAAUGGGCGAAAGCCUGAUGGAGCAACGCCGCGUGCAGGAUGAAGGCCUUCGGGUUGUAAACUGCUUUUAUAAGCGAGAAAUAUGAUGGUAACUUAUGAAUAAGGAUCGGCUAACUACGUGCCAGCAGCCGCGGUCAUACGUAGGAUCCGAGCAUUAUCCGGGGUGACUGGGUGUAAAGAGUUGCGUAGGUGGGAUAAUAAGUAGCUAGUGAAAUCUGGUGGCUCAACCAUUCAGACUAUUAGCUAAACUGUUAAGCUCGAGACCGUUAGGGGUAACUGGAAUUUCUAGUGUAGGGGUGAAAUCCGUAGAUAUUAGAAGGAACACCAGUAGCGUAGGCAGGUUGCUGGGACGGUUCUGACACUAAGGCACGAAAGCGUAGGGAGCAAACGGGAUUAGAUACCCUUGUAGUC
rnacentral:rRNA from 1 species